GCUCUCCACCCGCCGCAGGUGAAGGCCCCCGCCGCGGCCGCCGCGCUGAGAAGGCAGCGAGCCACUGCCGCCGCCUCCGACGCUCCCGCUGCAGCUGCCGCCGCCCCGCGCCGGAGAGCCGCUGUCGGAACCCGAAGCCCCGGAUUCCUCGUCCUCCGUGUCCUGGGAAGCGCGCUGCCGCCGCCGGUCCGCCAUCUUACGGAGAACGGCCACCGCUGGUCAGCUCCUUACGCACCACGCCCGCCGCGGAGGCUGCCGGGAAGCUCGAGACUCCGGAGUCCCAGCGUGCUUCACGUCCAGGGAGGGCCGCCCUUUUUUCCGCGGGGCGGGGCCUGCACCCUGCGGCACGUUUUCUGGAGAGCGAGAUGACGUCUGUCGGUGAUGCUUCCAUGGAGCCUGAAAAGGAGGUACAAACUACCUGAAAAGAGAGGAACAAUCUAUUUUACUUACUGUGGAGCUAAUUUUGGCAAUGGCCGUCCAAAUGCUACAACAGGCAAGAAGGGGGUAAUCAGCAAACUUUCAACUAUGGAAGAAAAUCACAUGGAGCCUUGUUAGCAAAGAGGUGAGAAAUAUCCAACCGCCACCGCUGCCACCACCACCACCUCCACAGCACAGCUCACCCGUCACAAGCAGCUGUGCUGUGGAGACUUGCACUCUUUUUCCCCCCUUGAAAAGUCUGCAAUUGUAAAUUUUUUAUUUGCUUUAUUUUAUAC
ensembl:antisense Gm12359 predicted gene 12359